UAACGUAGGCAGCGAAGCGUUAGUUCGGUAAUUGAAUUGGGCGUAAAGGAGCUCGUAGGCGGUUUGUCGCGUCUGGCUGUGAAAACUGGAGGCUCAACCUCCAGCCUGCAGUGGGUACGGGCAGACUAGAGUGCGGUAGGGGAGAUUGGAAUUCCUGGUGUAACGGUGGAAUGCGCAGAUAUCAGGAGGAACACCGGGUGGCGAAGGCGGGUCUCUGGGCCGAUACUGACGCUGAGGAGCGGAAAGCGUGGGGGAGCGAACAGG
rnacentral:rRNA from 1 species